GACGAACGCUGGCGGCGUGCUUAACACAUGCAAGUCGAACGGAAAGGCCUCUUUCGGGGGGUACUCGAGUGGCGAACGGGUGAGUAACACGUGAGUAACCUGCCCUUGACUUUGGGAUAACUUCAGGAAACUGGGGCUAAUACCGGAUAGGAGCUCCUGCUGCAUGGUGGGGGUUGGAAAGUUUCGGCGGUUGGGGAUGGACUCGCGGCUUAUCAGCUUGUUGGUGGGGUAGUGGCUUACCAAGGCUUUGACGGGUAGCCGGCCUGAGAGGGUGACCGGCCACAUUGGGACUGAGAUACGGCCCAGACUCCUACGGGAGGCAGCAGUGGGGAAUAUUGCACAAUGGGUGGAAGCCUGAUGCAGCAACGCCGGGUGCGGGAUGACGGCCUUCGGGUUGUAAACCGCUUUCGCUCAUGACGAAGCUUUGUGUGACGGUAGUGGGUAAAGAAGCACCGGCUAACUACGUG
rnacentral:rRNA from 1 species